UUAGGGAAGGUAACACGGUUCUGCUAUGUGUUUAUAGUUUCCCCUCAACUGCUUAAAAUAUUCAGCAAUGGUCUGACAGUCCACACUGACUUUAAUAUUUGGCUGUCCCAGACGCUUCUUUUGGAGAUAAUCGGUUACAUUUCAUUUGCUUAUCUAAGCUGGUCUUACGUUUCUUUACGUUUUACAGAGACCUUAUUUUCAGAGCUAUUAAUAUGCAUGUUCUCCCCUCAUCCAGGUGUGUGCAAGCAUGUCUUAUGUUUUAUGACAUGUAUUAUGUAAUCAUGUAUUAUGAUUGCCUUUUGUUCAUACAGUGUUUCGUAAUGUGUACAAAACAAAGAUAUGUAUACUGUGAUACAGGUAAAGGAUUGCGUCGCAUUGAGCAACAAUAAAUUACAUUUAAAUUAGCCACAAGGUGGCGCAUAUUGCGCCUAUGUACAUCACACUGUAUGUGACAUUACAACACAAUGACACCACAACAGAGGAUGGCUGCACAAAGCUAUUGACAUUAAUUACAGGGCUGGCACCGGUCCCACCAGUGUUACGGUUUUUCAAAGGAAGGAAGCAGUCGAGCUCUACUUAUGCUUCGUCUGUGUUUUGUAAUCUAACAACCUGAAGUCCAGGAACUCCUUUAGUUUUAAUGGAAUAAACUGUUACUUAAUUUUAAUAUAAAUAAGCUUUUUAAAUAAAGGUUAAUGUGUAUAUUCUGGCUCUGGAAUGACUUGUUAUAUUAGAAGAUUGCCAUCAACAAGAACUGGCACGCCAUCCUGAGCAGUCAGAGACACGUCCUUUGCAAGAAUUGCUACCGGAAAGACUAGUGCAUGGUGUGUGUCCAAUCACAUGGCUGUAUUUGACAGGAACAUAGACUCUAUUGACAAAAGUAUCGGGACAGCAGCCUGUCCAACAUUUCACUGAAUCAUAAGGUAAUGAUAUGAAGUUGGCUAAGACCUUUACUUGCUGUAAUAGCCUGUGCUCUUCUGGGAAGGCUUUCCAUUAGAUGUUGGAACAUUGCUGGUGGGAUUUGCUGCCAUUCAGGUUGGGUAUUGAUACUGGGUGAUCAGAUCCCUUUCUGUGAGCUUCUCUGGCCCCCACCCUGCAGCUUAAAUUGUCCCAGAUGUCACUUCAUCCAGGGCAACUGUAGCAGGAUAGCAGUGUGGGAGAGCCGACUUGACGGAAAGGUGUCCAGUGACCGUGUCGGGCUGACGAACCUCCUCUGUAUGACCCACUCUGGCAGGGAUGCCAACGUUGGUGAGCUGGCUGGUGUGAGAUUUUCAGUUUCAGACAGUCUGCACACUGAUUUAUAUUUAUGUAACAGUUUUAGUAACUGUAAAUGGUCUGUAGGGUUUGCAAACUAUCCCAAUGCUUUUGACGUAAUUUUAGGUUUAUAAUAUAAUAAUUUAGAUUUGCUGUAAGAUUUCUUGCAUGAGCAUGAGGGUCUAUGAAAGCGUGAGUAUUAUGCCAGAUGUGUGAGAUUUGGCAACUCUGCUCACGUGGCCAAUUUCUGUAAUUACUACAGGUGUCCCAAUACUUUUGUCCAUAUUUUGUAUAUUAAGGGCGGAGCUAAUACUGCUUUAAGUUUACAGGCCAGCUGGGCGUUUUGGCGCUAAGAUGGCGGUUUGCUGUGGGUGUCGGGUGUUUGCAGGCGGCCUUUUGCUGCGCCAGUGCCGUUUUCAGAAGCCAGAAGCCUGCGAUGGUGAAGCCGAAGCGCAGCAGAGCUGCCAAAAGGGCAUGAGCUGCGUGGGAGUGAUGAUGCGAGAAAGUCCUGUUAGAGCCUCGCCCUCUGCUGCAUGCGCUGGGCUGAUACCAUCCAUGCUCUGAUUGAAGAGAACAUGCAUCUACACGACCAGUUGGAGAGCUUAACACAAGCUCUUCAGAAGCUCAAACAGCUGCUGUGGAAUGACUCUGAAGAGACCAGGAAUGAGCAUGACCCUGAUUUACAGCGUCUGAAGAACGAAUGGAUGCAGCAUGGUGUAGGUGCAGAGACUCAUCGCCUGUUGGAGCAUGUCUUCUGUGAGCAUGAUCUCCACGCUACAGCCAGCUCAUCACGGGCACAUUCUGCCCUCCUCCUGAUUACGUUAAUGUAUUUAAGCUUUCUUUUGUUCUAAUACCAUUCGGAGGUUUAAAGAAGUAUUGGCUUCCCAUUGGUGUCCCGCAACGACCAACACAACCUGUAAAAUGAACAAGAUGUGACGUUUGAAAUAAAUGACAGCACUGUUGUAUUAUA